AUCACGCACGCCGAGCUUCGGGUAACUCUCACAGUGGAAGAAUCUGACUUUUGUCUUUAUGGCUAAAGAAGCAGUGCUGUAUCCCACAGUAGUACAAAGGGCAAAAGAUGAGUGCCAGGCAUGGAUUGCAGAUUUCCACAGUCCAUGGUGACCAGACUGCAACUUACAGCAUCCAUGUAGAAUGGUCCACGGCACGCACGACAUUUCCGCUGAUAACCAAAACAGGGAAACCUUGCUAUUUUCUGUGAUCUCCCUCAGAGUUUUGACUGAGAGCACAUCUAUAAGUCUCAUCUACUAAGAAAUGGAUUUUGGUUCAAGGCAUGAAAACUUGUAUUUGAAGUGCCCAAAUGGAAACUCACUGUGGGUAGGUGGACUUGUGACCAGAAGGCCAAUAUUGAUAAAGAACACACCAUUUUUCCCCGCUGUGGGAAGACAGGCUCAGUCCUUUUUUUAUUCAUAUUUUUCUCUCUUCUUCCACUUUUCCUCUCUCUAGCUUCACCUCUCUCCAAAUAUCUAUGAAGUCUCUAUCAUGCACCAGGCACCAAGCAAGACACUGGGAGUACACGUGGAGUACAAAGGUGCUAUUGGGGAUUACUAUUUUCAUGAAGCUCUUAGGCCUUUUUCACAGAGCUUGCCAUGUUUUACUUGAAUCCUAUUUUCAUUCUCUCUUGAUUAUGAUCUCCCUGAGUGAAGGAAUCAGGCCUUAUCCUGGCAGAGCAAAAUGUGUGGCUUAGAGCUGAAAAUAUUUGCAGAGUGGCCCGGCCAUCCAGGGAUGUGGCAUUAGGAAGAUUGUCCAUCCGCGCUGUCCUCAGCGUGGGAACGAAGAGCACCAGUGACUGGCCGGGGGAAGGAUACUUGAUGAAGGCACUGGAAAGUGGCUGUGUAAAGUCUCUAUUUGGUAUUUUUAAACUCAACUAACCUAUUGCUUCUUUGAAACUCCAGCCUUAAGAGAUACAGGCAGGCUCUGUUCUUUUAAAGUACAAAGAUGCCUCUAGUGGUGGCAGACGUGUGGUGCAAAUAUGACAUUAAUAGAACAUGUAUGUGCUUUGAGGUCACACAAUUCAAAACUGGAUCUCUGGGGAAUAAGGAAAGGAGGGUGGGGGUGGAGAAGUGAGUUGUCCUUAGGUUUUCUGACUAUCCUUAAAUCAGGAGCGGCUUGUUGAAAGCAAAUGGUCUGGUGGGAAGAUUUUGGUGUCCAAGGCAGUUCUCUUCCUGUUGUCUUCCUACUGUUGGUUCAUGGGUGUUCACAAACUCCACACAUUCAUUUCCUGCCUCCCUGGAAUAGUGAUUUAAGAGAGUACGAGGGUCUUCCCUGCCUUUUUUAUGUCUCAACAUAUCAUACUUUGACACUAACUAAACUGUUUCACUGUCUUCUUGUGGUGCAAUCUGCUUUCUCCUUUUCCCAGUGUAAGGAGCUUAUGAAAAGACACCCCAUUUGUGCAUCCAUCUUGGGAACUCUGCCAGCCUCUAUAAAGACUUUGCUAAAUUGUGCUUAGACACUGGGAAGAUGUGAUCAUUCUGGCUUCUCAUAACAUGGACA
rnacentral:lncRNA from 1 species